rnacentral:rRNA from 1 species
UACGUAGGCAUCGAGCGUUGUUCGGAAUUACUGGGCGUAAAGAGUGUGUAGGCGGUGCUCUAAGUUCGGUGUGAAAUCUCCCGGCUUAACUGGGAGGGUGCGCCGGAAACUGGAGUGCUCGAGCGUGGGAGAGGAAAGCGGAAUUCCUGGUGUAGCGGUGAAAUGCGUAGAUAUCAGGAGGAACACCUGUGGUGUAGACAGCUUACUGGACCACUUCUGACGCUGAGGCGCGAAAGCUAGGGGAGCAAACAGG